rnacentral:rRNA from 1 species
GAUGAACGCUAGCGGCAGGCCUAAUACAUGCAAGUCGAACGGCGUCUUCGGACAUAGUGGCGCACGGGUGCGUAACACGUAUGCAACCUACCUUACAUUGGGGGAUGGCCUUUCGAAAGGGAGAUUAAUACCGCAUAAGACAGUAGCUGGGCAUCCAGCAGCUGUUAAAGAUUUAUCGAUGCAAGCUGGGCAUGCGUCCAAUUAGCUAGUUGGUGAGGUAACGGCUCACCAAGGCAAUGAUUGGUAGGGGAACUGAGAGGUCAAUCCCCCACACUGGAAAUCAGAUACGGGCCAGAAUCCUACGUAAGGCAGCAGUAGGGAAUAUUGGGGAAUGGACGCAAGUCUGACCCAGCCAUGCAGCGUGCAGGAUGAAGGCGUUAUGCGUUGUAAACUGCUUUUAUACAGGAAGAAACGACUCUUGCGAGAGGCAUUGACGGUACUGUAUGAAUAAGCACCGGCUAACUCCGUGCCAGCCGCCGCAGUAACAC